CUUUGUGAAAACUUAUUAAUGUCCGCCUUGUUUUCUUUGGUUAUUAAAACUGCUUUUCUAACCGAAGCCAGAACUAACAUCAAUAAAACGGAUUCCAUUAUAAAACCGUUAAAUAAUCGCGGUCUUGAUGACCGGUUGGCAGGACUUUCCUCGCUGAAAGGGAGUACAGGUGAUUUGCCAACGAAGCCAUUGAACAGGAGCGGGGAAAAUUUGAAUAUCAUCAAAUGUCGAUUGCGGAAUAAAAGCUGUAAUGGCCAUGCUAGACGAUGGAUCACAUUUUAUCUCAAGGUAAAAUAAUCU